AUUGAACGCUGGCGGCAGGCCUAACACAUGCAAGUCGAGCGAGCGGCGGACGGGUGAGUAAUGUCUGUGGACUGCCCGAUAGAGGGGGAUAACUACUGGAAACGGUAGCUAAUACCGCAUACUAUCAGAUAGCCCAUAUGGGAUUAGCUAGUAGGUGGGGUAAUGGCUCACCUAGGCGACGAUCCCUAGCUGGUCUGAGAGGAUGAUCAGCCACACUGGAACUGAGGCACGGUCCAGACUCCUACGGAGGCAGCAGUGGGGAAUAUUGCACAAUGGGCGCAAGCCUGAUGCAGCCAUGCCGCGUGUAUGAAGAAGGCCCUAGGGUUGUAAAGUACUUUCAGUCGGGAGGCGUUACCGACAGAAGAAGCACCGGCUAACUCCGUGCCAGCAGCCGCGGUAAUAC
rnacentral:rRNA from 1 species